UUUUUACAAAAUAAUUUAAAAUUAAUUUUUAUAUUUUUAUUUUUUUAAUGUUUUUUGUUUUAUUGGGGUGAUAGGAAGAUUAAUUAAACUCUUUUUUAUAUUAUUAAUGAUAUUUAUAUUUUUGAUCCAUUAUUAUUGAUUAGAAGAAAAAGU
rnacentral:rRNA from 1 species